AUUGAACGCUGGCGGCAUGCUUUACACAUGCAAGUCGAACGGUAACAGGGAGCUUGCUCCGCUGACGAGUGGCGAACGGGUGAGUAAUGCGUCGGAACGUGCCGAGUAGUGGGGGAUAACGCAUCGAAAGGUGUGCUAAUACCGCAUACGAACUGAGGUUGAAAGUGGGGGACCUUCGGGCCUCACGCUAUUCGAGCGGCCGACGUCUGAUUAGCUAGUUGGUGAGGUAAAGGCUCACCAAGGCGACGAGCAGUAGCGGGUCUGAGAGGAUGAUCCGCCACACUGGGACUGAGACACGGCCCAGACUCCUACGGGAGGCAGCAGUGGGGAAUUUUGGACAAUGGGCGCAAGCCUGAUCCAGCCAUGCCGCGUGUCUGAAGAAGGCCUUCGGGUUGUAAAGGACUUUUGUCCGGGAGCAAAUGCUGGUGGCUAACAUCCACCGGAGCUGAGAGUACCGGAAGAAUAAGCACCGGCUAACUACGUGCCAGCAGCCGCGGUAACAC
rnacentral:rRNA from 1 species